rnacentral:rRNA from 1 species
GAUGAACGCUAGCGGCAGGCCUAACACAUGCAAGUCGAGGGGCAGCACAGGUAGCAAUACUGGGUGGCGACCGGCGGAUGGGUGCGUAACGCGUAUGCAACCUACCAUUGAUUGGGGCAUAGCCCGAAGAAAUUCGGAUUAAUACUCCAUAAUAUUCAUUAAAGGCAUCUUUUAUGAAUUAAAGCUUUUGCGAUCAAUGAUGGGCAUGCGUGACAUUAGUUAGUUGGUGAGGUAACGGCUCACCAAAACGAUGAUGUCUAGGGGUUCUGAGAGGAUUAUCCCCCACACUGGUACUGAGACACGGACCAGACUCCUACGGGAGGCAGCAGUGAGGAAUAUUGGUCAAUGGACGCAAGUCUGAACCAGCCAUGCCGCGUGCAGGAUGACGGCCCUAUGGGUUGUAAACUUCUUUUACUAGGGGAAUAAAGUGAGUCACGUGUGAUUUUUGCAUGUACCCUGUGAAUAAGCAUCGGCUAACUCCGUG